ACAGAGGCGGCAAGCGUUGUUCGGAAUUACUGGGCGUAAAGCGUGCGCAGGCGGUCUUGCAAGACAGUGGUGAAAUCCCCGGGCUCAACCUGGGAACUGCCAUUGUGACUGCAAGGCUGGAGUACGGCAGAGGGGGAUGGAAUUCCGCGUGUAGCAGUGAAAUGCGUAGAUAUGCGGAGGAACACCGAUGGCGAAGGCAGCCUCCUGGGCCAGUACUGACGCUCAUGCACGAAAGCGUGGGGAGCAAACAG
rnacentral:rRNA from 1 species